GUCGAACGGGCACUUCGGUGCUAGUGGCAGACGGGUGAGUAACACGUGGGAACGUACCUUUCGGUUCGGAAUAAUUCAGGGAAACUUGGACUAAUACCGGAUAAGCCCUUCGGGGGAAAGAUUUAUCGCCGAUAGAUCGGCCCGCGUCUGAUUAGCUAGUUGGUGAGGUAAUGGCUCACCAAGGCGACGAUCAGUAGCUGGUCUGAGAGGAUGAUCAGCCACAUUGGGACUGAGACACGGCCCAAACUCCUACGGGAGGCAGCAGUGGGGAAUAUUGGACAAUGGGCGAAAGCCUGAUCCAGCCAUGCCGCGUGUGUGAUGAAGGCCUUAGGGUUGUAAAGCACUUUUGUCCGGGAAGAUAAUGACUGUACCGGAAGAAUAAGCCCCGGCUAACUUCGUGCCAGCAGCCGCGGUAAUACGAAGGGGGCUAGCGUUGCUCGGAAUCACUGGGCGUAAAGGGCGCGUAGGCGGACUCUUAAGUCGGGGGUGAAAGCCCAGGGCUCAACCCUGGAAUUGCCUUCGAUACUGAGAGUCUUGAGUUCGGAAGAGGUUGGUGGAACUGCGAGUGUAGAGGUGAAAUUCGUAGAUAUUCGCAAGAACACCAGUGGCGAAGGCGGCCAACUGGUCCGAUACUGACGCU
rnacentral:rRNA from 1 species